AUUACCUUUUUGAAAGCUAACAAUGACGUAGCAUUACAGCUGUUCACCAUGAUGAGUGGGUUAACGUUAACUACAUUUAGAAAGUGAUUUGGACAAGGCAAGUCGUAGUAAUUAGCAUUAGGAGGAUGGAUUAGCGCCAUGUUUCUUCACGUAUUGGGUGAAUGUUAAUGCUGAGUAACAGGUGCAGACAGUCGCUGGCUAACAGAACUUAGCUAGUUCAGUAAUGUCAAGGCCAAAAGUUCUUCAUAAGGUUAAUGUGACACAAAGAGAUUAUAGGGGUUACGCCACAGCCAGCAGAGGGCACUGCGGCACGGCUUCUGACUGGUCACUCUUUUGUUUUCGUUUGCUUCCUGCUUGGACAUUGAUUUAAGUCUGAUCAUGUCUCUGAUUUGCCCCAGGUGUCCAUGUUUUGGUUUGAUUAUGUUGACUAUUUAAACCCCUCCGUGAGUGUACACUUCGGGUAGUAUUAUUUGGUUUACGGUUGUCAUGUCAAGGAAGUAUGACGGCAUGUGCUAACGUGUAGCAUGCUAGCGGUCGUAGCUAGAUGUCCAGAGUUUAAGUAUAGUCAGUAGAGACCGUGCUCCCUGUGUUUUGUUUGCCUGCUAAUUAAUAAAGACUUUGACCUGCACCUGCAUCCGCCUCCAGUCCCGUUUCGUAACAAUGGGGGUUACGGUUUCAUUACAAAUGUCUUCAUUUGUGUUCUGAAGAUGAACGUAAGUCUAAUGAGUUUGGAACCACGUGAGGAAGCAGCUGCAGUUUGAGAGUGUGAGCCAGGAAAAGCAGGCGGAGUGAACGAUGAGCACAGGAUAAAGAGUUUCACUCACGCUUGGUGUUCAUGGACACGGCAAUGGCUGACUCCAGGCCUUUGUGGUGGAC